ensembl:snRNA U6 U6 spliceosomal RNA
GUGCUGUGGAAGCACAUAUGCUAAAAUGCACUGAUACAGAGACCGGGGUGGCCACUUUGUAAGGAUGACAGGCACGUUUGUGAAGCCUUCCAUAGUUUC